UUUGAAGAGACUCAAAGUGUGAUUUUUGAAACCUAGGAUGGGUGCAGAAAAAAUUUGGGUUUCGGGACGCCUAACCUUAUGAGUUUCUCAAACUCUGGGAUCUGGAAACCGACACCAUGACCGCCUCUGCAAAGUCCCGCCCCCAAACCACAGUAGGUUUCAAUUUUACUCUCAGCCUACAAUGAAGGGUGAAGAUAAAAUCUAACCAACUCCCUUCCCUUAACAAAAGAAUAUAUACUGAUCCCCAGUUGAAGAAAUGACCCAUUCAAACCUCUUGGCGAGUCGCCGAACUGGCCCAUCUAGAUCCUUAAAAACUACCCAUCCAUCUCGCGCGCCUCUCGGCGGCUACCUGUUGCCAUGGUGAUGACGACAGGCUCCCGCAGAGGCUCCGGCUGUGGUCGCAGCAGGCUGGAGAGGCUGAAGAGAGUGCUGGAUACGCUGACCAGCAGCCAAUCCCCGUCCAGGGCCCGCGGGCAGUUCUGCUCCGGACUCAGACUUCUAGCCCACUUCGCCGAGGCAGGGAACGGGAUGAAGCGGCUCAUCUCGCAGUGUGGGGCGGAGGCGCCUGCGGGGUACCGCCUGAAGGCGGCCAGGAGCAUUCCCGCCGGGUCUGCAGAACCGAAAAGGGUGUAACGGUAGCCCGGACUGGAAAUGUGCUGACUACACACAGGCCGGAAGGCACAAACUAGCAAAGUAGUGAACGACUUAGAGAGCAUCCAAACGUAUUUACAAAAGGGAAAACUGAGGCCCAGCGUCCCUGCGUGAGCUAAGAGGAGGCGACAGAUGCAGGCUGGGGUGAGGAACUGGAAAUUCCCCGAUCUGGUCAGGUGAGGGCGUGACUGCGCGUUGGAGGAACGCCGCCCACAGGGGCCAAACAGAGUUGCCGAAACCCUGUCUGUAGCUCUCCAGCCACUCCUCGCCCUGCACCCACCCCCUUGGCUCACCGGACUGCGCCAACUUUGAGCCCUUUAUCAGCCUAGACUCCGCCCUCCUGCUGUGCCCUCUCCGCGCCACCUCCCUUAAAACCACACUCCCGCGUUCCCAGACCUGUGCCAGGUCCCAGCAAACAGAGGGGUGUUGGGAAGCCAAGUGAAGUGACCAAUAAAUAUUUUAAUCACCGUUAAAAAUUAAGACCUAUACUACGCGGCUCCCACCUUGUGUCCACCCACUUUCAUGACAACCCAAUUUGGGAUCCCCAUGGCAAGGGUGGGGUAGUACAGAAAUAAGGGGCGUAUCCUUCAAGAGGAGAAAGGACAAUCGUUAAGACUCAAAGGCCUUGUCCCACAACACAAACACAGACUUCAGGCACAAACUAGCACAACCUGACUGUUGGCUCUGUGACUCUAGGAUGCUCAAAAGGUCCCUUUUCCAUUCCCCCACCUUGUUGGCACUACUCCGUGAAGGUGGGGCUCUGGUGUGCUCAGGGGAAAAGCAAAAACACAGCUUAGUUCCAGAGAUCUCGAGGAAGGGGCUGAGGAAUGGAACGGGCUGGCGACGGUGCAACCCACGCCCUUCUCUAGAAUAUAUACAAGUCCACCGAGGUAAGGGAAGACUGUUUGGUGGGGGAAACCCCGGGAGCCAUUGCUCUUAGACUAAGCUCCCCAAUUGCCUGCUCUUCAGUGUGCUGCACCUCCACCCCCACUGAAAUCCAUCUCCACUUUGUGCACGCUGGGUGGGGACCAGACACGCCUAUGGGACGGGGGCGUGGCCGAAUUUGCCUCAUCGCCACUGCCCCCACCCACUGUGGAAGACUCCCUCUUGGGUUGCAAUGCUGGCCCAGAAGGUGUCCCGGGUCCAGGUCCAGGACCCGGUCCAGAUCCGACCCCACCCACACCCAUCCGGUGCCGACGCUCACAGUGUCCCCGGUGACGCAUGAAACUGUCCCGCCACAUGAACUUCUUGGCGCAGACACUGCAUUCGUACGGCUUGAGGCCCGUGUGUGUCUUCAUGUGCUCGGUCAGGUGGUGUUUCAUCUUGAACUUUUUGUUGCACACGGGGCAGUCAAAGGGUCGCAGGUUGAGAUGCAUAUUCACGUGCCGGUCCCGCAUGCUCUUAUGUGAGAAAGCCUUCCCACAGUGGCACAGAAAGAUCUUAUUCCCGUCGCUGUUGCCUGUCCCUCCAGGAGCCCCACCAGAGCCACUUGGUAUGCCCAGCCCCACCGCAGAGGUGCCCCCGAGGGUCACUGCCCCGUGCUCAGCUGUGUUCCCUGGUGGCUGGCCUGGAGCCUGUGAAGAGGAGGAUGGGAAAACCAAGAUCUGGUUGCCCGGCACAUCCAAUGGAAGGAGGGGUCGUGGAGGGUGGGUGAGGGCAUAGGAGGAAGGGGUGGGUCCUCCGGGGUCAUCAAGCCCUGCCCCAGCGCCCCCACCCUCAUAGGGGCCAAAGUCAUUGGAGGAUUCACAGAAGUUGACCUGCUCUUCCCCCUUGUCUGCAGGCUCGGUCAAGGUCCGAACAUCACUGAUACUGAGGGUAGCCUCGGGCUCUCCCCCUGCAGGAACCCCAGAGCCGCCUCCCAUUUCUUCAUCCUCAUCAUCCUCACAAGUCAACACCAGAUCUUCCUCCUCUUCCUCAUCUUCUAGAUCGGGGUCUUGGUGGACCAGGGAGGCUGGUGCAGGGCAAUUUCUAGCUUGCUUCACAUACACCCAGUGUUUCUGUGGCACUGCACUGGCAGGCAUGCAGUUAGACCUCCGGAGCCCAGCCCCGGGGGCCACGGCCCCUCUCCCAUCCCCACCGUCAUCGCAUAGCUCAUCGGCCUCCAGCAGCAACUUCCCGGAGGUGGUACCCGCACUGCCAACCACAGGGGCUGGGAACACCGGGCCACCAUCCCGACGGUUCCCACUACCUGCUGCUGAGGCCACAAAUGCAUCCUGGGAGGUAGAGGAGAAAUCAGUCGACUCCCGGGGGCUGAAGUAGUUGCUACUGCUGGGAGACUGAUUCUCACUGGCCCUGCUGGAGGUAUGGGAACGGACAGAGCCUACGGUGGCAGGGGCGACAGUGCCCCCAUUCCCUGAUGGGACACUGGCACAAGGGACAGAGACAGAGGGGGCUGCAGCAGUAGUGACAGUGGUUGUAGUGGCUGCGGAUCGACCCUCCCGAAGGAGUUCAGUGCACUUAUCCACAAUGUGCCACAUCUGGAGGACCGACCCCACUGUGAGGAAGUUGACAAUGUCCGCAGCAGCCAUGCUGAGGCGGCCCGUGUAAGCUGAGGCCAGGACAGUCUCAAAAGCGCCUGGGUCCAUGACGCUUGGCAGGGAAAUGGAAGUCAUGCCUUUCAGUAGGACCUGGUCGUGGAAGUAAGGAGAGGAGGCAGCCAAGACGGCCCUGUGAGCGCGGAACUCCCGUCCCUGCACGCGGAUGGACACAUCACAGAGCUGACCCUGGAGCCGCUGCUGGUUGAGGGAUUCCAGGAGGGCACUGGUCACCUCAGGGAAGGACACGUGUACCACUGCAGCUGCCGGCAGAGGCAGUGGCGGUGGAGCCAGUGACAGAGGCAGUGGGAGUGUGGCCCCACUGGGUGACAGAGCAGACGGCUCCAUGCUGUGGAAGGAGAUACCCCCCCAGCCACAGGAACAAAGGAAAGAAGAGGGCGGCCGGGGGGGUC
rnacentral:lncRNA from 1 species